GCCCUGAUAGCUCAGUUGGUAGAGCAAACGACUGAAAAUCGUUGUGUCCCUAGUUCAAAUCUAGGUCAGGGCACCA
rnacentral:tRNA from 7 species